rnacentral:tRNA from 1 species
GGAAAGUUGGCCGAGCGGCUGAAGGCAGCGGUUUCGAAAACCGCCAGGGUGUAAAAGCUCUCACAGGUUCGAAUCCUGUACUUUCCGCCA